UGUGUAUUGACUGUCAUUCUCUCUCUCUGUCCCCGUCUGUUCCCCAGUGCUCUGGACUUGGAUGACUGUCCCCUCCCGAAACUUAGUGCCCUGGAGUAGCAGGACAGCUGAGCGCCGCCCUGCUGCCCUGAUAAGCAGCUUCUUGUCCCACCCCCUGGAUUCAAAAGCCUUCCUAGACCCACCCCUCUGUCUGAUUGGAUGAUGAUGAUGAGGCUCACCGCACUCGCACACUCCACUGACCCCGCCCCCAGAUUGAUAAGUCGGACUGGCUGGCUUCAGAUUGGUCAGCAGCUCCUGUUUCAAUUGGACACGCCAGGCAGCAUCGCUACUUUUCAACUUUUCUUAUUUCAGGGUUCACAGCAUGCUGUAACAAAUCCCUCCCCUUCUAGAGUGCCUGAUUGGUUCUUCCUUGGGACACUUUGUUAAUUACACAGCAGCUUUCACUGCUCUGUUUGGGUGGGCGGAGCUAUCCACAGAGACCCAAAGGAAAGCGACAGGUUUGAUUGACACCCGUUCAGUUUGAUUUUCCUCAGCUUGGAUAUCUCCUCCCCGGCUGCAUUCGCAGAGAUUAAUCAGCAACGCUCCAGCGACCCACAGCACAGUCAUUGAGAACGAAGACAUUGAUCAGCAAAGCACCAGCAACCCACAGCACAGUCAUUGAGAACGAAGGCAUUGAUCAGCAAAGCACCAGCAACCCACAGCACAGUCAUUGAGAACGAAGGCAUUGAUCAGCAAAGCACCAGCAACCCACAGCACAGUCAUUGAGAACGAAGGCAUUGA